rnacentral:rRNA from 1 species
GACGAACCGUGCGACCGUUAUUCGGAAUCACUGGGCUUAAAGCGCGUGUAGGCGGGAGGGCACGUCCGUCGCUGAAAUCCCCCGGCUCAACCGGGGAACGGGCACGGAUACGACCUUCCUGGAGGGGCGUAGGGGGACCUGGAACUUCCGGUGGAGCGGUGAAAUGCGUUGAGAUCGGAAGGAACGCCCGUGGCGAAAGCGAGGUCCUGGACGCCUACUGACGCUGAGACGCGAAAGCCAGGGGAGCGAACGGG